rnacentral:rRNA from 1 species
GAUGAACGCUAGCUCCAGGCUUAACACAUGCAAGUCGCGGGACCGGCGCACGGGUGAGUAACGCGUAUCCACCCUUCCCUUCCCCACGCGAUAACCCGGCGAAAGUCGGACUAAUACCGUAUGAGCCAGGAUGGGGUUGCGUUCGAUUACCUGCACGGCGGGGUAACGGCCCACCGUGGCUACGAUAGGUAGGGGUUCUGAGAGGGAGGUCCCCCACACUGGAACGGAGACACGGUCCAGACUCCUACGGGAGGAAGCAGUGAGGAAUAUUGGUCAAUGGGCGUAAGCCUGAACCAGCCAAGUAGCGUGCAGGACGACGGCCUAUGGGUUGUAAACUGCUUUUAGGCGGGGAUAGGUACCGCAUGAAUAAGGACCGGCUAAUUCCGUGCCAGCCGCCGCGGUAAUAC